GAUGAACGCUGGCGGCGUGCUUAACACAUGCAAGUCGAACGAAGCAUAGAAGCGGAAGUUUUCGGAUGGAAGCUUUUAUGACUGAGUGGCGGACGGGUGAGUAACGCGUGGGUAACCUGCCUUGUACUGGGGGAUAACAGUCAGAAAUGACUGCUAAUACCGCAUAAGCGUACAGUGUCGCAUGACACAGUACGAAAAACUCCGGUGGUAUAAGAUGGACCCGCGUCUGAUUAGCUAGUUGGUAGGGUAACGGCCUACCAAGGCGACGAUCAGUAGCCGGCCUGAGAGGGUGAACGGCCACAUUGGGGACUGAGACACGGCCCAAACUCCUACGGGAGGCUG
rnacentral:rRNA from 1 species